UACGUAGGGAGCGAGCGUUGUCCGAAGUUACUGGGCGUAAAGCGCGCGUAGGCGGUCGCUUAAGUUAGAUGUGAAAUCCUGGGGCUCAACCCCAGAACUGCAUCUAAAACUGGGCGACUUGAGGACGGAAGAGGGCAGUGGAAUUCCUGGUGUAGCGGUGAAAUGCGUAGAUAUCAGGAGGAACACCCGUGGCGAAGGCGGCUGCCUGGUCCGUAACUGACGCUGAGGUGCGAAAGCUAGGGGAGCGAACGGG
rnacentral:rRNA from 1 species